rfam:Oryza nivara chromosome 3, whole genome shotgun sequence.
AAUAAGUGUAAUUUUGCACUAUUCACGUUCAACGUUUAACCAUUCAUUUUAUUUGAAAAUUUUUUAUGAUUAAUAUUUUUAUUGCUAUUAGAUGAUAAUACAUGAAUAGUACUUUAUGUGUGACUAAAUAUUUUUAAAUUUUUUAUAAAUUUUUCAAAUAAGAUAGAUGGUCAAACGUUAAACACGAAUAUUCACGGCUGUACUUAUU